rnacentral:rRNA from 1 species
GGACCCGCACAAGCGGUGGAUGAUGUGGUUUAAUUCGAUGCAACGCGAAAAACCUUACCCACCUUUGACAUGUACGGAAUUUGCCAGAGAUGGCUUAGUGCUCGAAAGAGAACCGUAACACAGGUGCUGCAUGGCUGUCGUCAGCUCGUGUCGUGAGAUGUUGGGUUAAGUCCCGCAACGAGCGCAACCCUUGCCAUUAGUUGCUACGAAAGGGCACUCUAAUGGGACUGCCGGUGACAAACCGGAGGAAGGUGGGGAUGACGUCAAGUCCUCAUGGCCCUUAUAGGUGGGGCUACACACGUCAUACAAUGGCCGGUACAAAGGGUAGCCAACCCGCGAGGGGGAGCCAAUCCCAUAAAGCCGGUCGUAGUCCGGAUCGCAGUCUGCAACUCGACUGCGUGAAGUCGGAAUCGCUAGUAAUCGUGGAUCAGCAUGUCACGGUGAAUACGUUCCCGGGUCUUGUACACACCGCCCGUCACACCAUGGGAGCGGGUCUCGCCAGAAGUAGUUAGCCUAACCGCAAGGAGGGCGAUUACCACGGCGGGGUUCGUGACUGGGGUGAAGUCGUAACAAGGUAGCCGUAUCGGAAGGUGCGGCU